GAGGAAAAAGAGGGAAAACACUUGCAGUGAGAAAGAAAAACAACAGAUUCAACAAUCUUCCUUAGGGGUGGUUCGUGUCCUGCUUAGGUGAAGAAACUCCUGGUAAACUGAGAGGGUUGUGAAGAAAAACAGACUGAGGAGGAGAAGCUGGAUUUUAGUUACUAGAUGGACCGAACAGUGGCUUUGGAUGCAGAAGUGGUGGGCAUGUCAAAUUCCACAUCUACAUAGCGGACAAAACUGGAAGGCACUUCCCGGUCAGAGCCAAGCUCUAGGUGGCAAAAGAAGCAGUGAGGAUGUCCAGAAGCUGGAAAAAGAGAGCAAACAGACAUGAAAAUUGUGUUGGAUGGUUCAAAACCGACAUCAUCUAGGGGAAAGCAACAUCACAAAACUGCAAGGAACCCAGAAUCUGCCUGGGUGAACUAGUGCGUAGCAAGCAAGAGUAUCUUAUCUGUUCCAAUACCAUUGGAGUUUCCAGAGGAAAUGAACAAAAUAAAUUGCAAAAAGGACUGCUGAUAACUCUAGCUUGGUUUUAGUAGGUGAAAAUACAAGAUGUAAAUCAAGCAGCAUUGGGUAAAGGUAUUUCUCCUCUUCCCAUUCCCCCAGUUUAUGUAACACACCAAGUACAUUGUGGCACAUCCUUCUAAAAUACCAGGUAUUGAUAGUAAGUAAAGGUGGUAUUUGGCAGACAUUUCACAUCUAUUUGAAAUUUUUAUCCCCAUUUUUAGCAAAAGAAAAUAUACUGAAUAAGGUUAAAUAAUUUUUCUGGUUUCAAAAGGCAAAUUUGUGCAUAGCGUGGAAAUAACUGUUUAUUCCUUCCUUUAACCCACAACAAGGUAGAGGAAGUAAUCAUAUUUAGCUCUGUCAUCUGUAAAUGAAAACCUUUAUUAUUAUUUUUUCCCUUUUGUUUUGCUGGACAGCAGUGAUGUUUAAAAAAUAAAGUAGGGAUUGCUAAUCAAGCCAAGCUAAUUUUAUUUCUGACUGCUGCCAACUCCUUAAGCUCUUGAGCAAGUACUUUAAGGUUUGCACUUCAGUUUCUCUGUCUGUAAAAUUAGGAUGAGAGCCUUAUAAGCCACCUUGGACUUUCUGAUGGAAAGUAUCCUGUUCUCUAAGCAUGUGUAAAUGAAAGUAAUGUACAAAUAAAAUAACUAAAUCCUU